UGUUUGUGCAACUGAUUCCUGCAGUAAUCAGUUUACCAAAGUACCAAAGCAUGUUGAGUACCAAAGCAGAUUGGAACGUUUCCAACACCUACCAGCUAUCAAGUUAUUGCAGGUACUCAACAUCAAGCUAAGGUACCUUUUUACCAACUUUAUUAUCUCACUCCUUUGCUGUCAGCAGAUUCUUUUGAAUAAAUUCGGCAAUCCGCCGACUCCGGUGCUCUGACGUCAGACGCCACAGUAAGCUAGUUCUGGACAAGACCGGAAGGGAAACACCGCCUCAGUUUUGCUCUUACAUCUGAGCUGAAGAUAUAAGUGGUCACUGAUUAUCGUUCAUCACAGCAAGCAUCACCAGAGCAGGGUAGACCACCUCCACAGGCUGCACAAGGGUAAGGAGCAGAUGGAUAAUGGAUGAGGGCCUUUAUGUCUGAUUUUACAUUGCACAAUCAAGAAAGUCUCCAAGUGCAGAGGGAGAUGGUGGAAGAGAUACAAGAACUGCAACAAGAAUUACGCAGACAGAACAGCCUGUUGGAGCAACUGGUGGUGUGCCUGCAACAAGAAUUGGGCUCCCUCACCCAGUGCACACAAGUGGCACCUCCCUUGAUGCCCCCAAUCCUAAACCGGUUGUUCCGGCCUUGCCCUCCUGUGCCACAUGCCACCUGUUCCUAAAAUGUUGGAAUUGACGCACAGUGUAAAAUCCAUGCAAAUAACCAUCAUGGAUUGUGUCUUUAAUUGCUCAAAAUCAACAUCCUUGCAUAGCUUAUGGACUAUGUUAUGCCAUACUUUACUCAGUCAUGGACUGUGUUACUCAUUGCUCAAAAAACUACCUCCAGAGUAUGGCUUAUGGACUGUGUUAUGCCAUAUUUGAGAUUCAAUCAUGGACUGUGUCUUUGCUCAAAAAACAACCUUCUUGUAUGGAGCAUUGAGUGUUUAAUUGCAUAUGCGUGCUACCAUCAUGGACUGUGUCUUUAAUUGCUCAAAACACAACCUCCUUGUAUGGAGCAUGGACUGUUUAAUUAUAUACUGUACAUGUGCUACCAUCAUGGGCUGUGUCUUUAAUUGCUCAAAAAGCUACCUCCUUGUAUGGAUUAUGGACAUUCGGAUAGAUUACGAGUUUUGCGGUAAGAGCUGCUCGGUGCUAACUUGCAAGUUAUUGUCACCGCUCACCUCCCUAUAGCGCUGCUAUUACAGGUUUUCAUAAACCCGGCGUUAGCAGGCAAUAUGUGAGCAUUGAGCAAAAUUGAGCUCCAUACCGCACACAAAUACCAGCGCUGCUUUGAGCUGGUUUUACGUGCUCGUGCACGAUUUCCCCAUAGACAUCAAUGGGGAGAGCCGGCUAAAAAAAGCCUAACACUUGCAAUAAAGGAGCAUAAAGCUCUGUAACGCUGCCCCAUUGAUUCCUAUGGGGAAAGAAAAGUUAUGUUUUCACCUAACACCCUAACAUAAACCCUGAGUCUAAACACCCCUAAUCUGCUUCCCCUGACAUCGCCGACACCUACAUUACACUUUUUAACCCCUAAUCUGACACUCUCGACACCGCCACCACCUACCUACACUUAUUAACCCCUAAUAAGCCACCCCCAAUGUCGCUGCCACCUACCUAUGCUUAUUAACCCCUAAUCUGCUGCCCCCAAUGUUGUUGCCACAGACAUAAAUUUAAUAACCCCUAAUCUGCCACCACCUCCACCUACAUUAUACUUAUUAACCCCUAAUUUGAUGCCCCUAACAUCGCUGCCACCUACAUUAUACUUAUUAACCCCUAAUCUGCCUCCCCCAACGUCGCCGCCACUAUACUAAAGUUAUAAACCCCUAAACCUAACCCUAAAUCUAACCCUAACACCCACUAACUUUAAUAUAAUUAAAAUAAAUCUAAAUAAAAAUUACUAUCAUUAACUAAAUAAUUCCUAUUUAAAACUUAUAAAAUAAACCCUAAGCUAGCUACAAUAUAAAUAAUAGUUACAUUGUAGCUAGCUUAGGUAUUAUUUUUAUUUCACAGCUAAGUUUGUAUUUAUUUUAACUAGGUAGACUAGUUACUAAUUAGUUAUUAACUAUUUACUAACUACCUACAAAUUUACCUGUAAAAUAAAACCAAACCUGAGUUACACUAACACCUAACCUUACGCUACAAUUAAAUAAAUUACAUUAAUUAAAUACAAUUAACUAAAUUACAAAAAA